rnacentral:tRNA from 1 species
GGCGGUAUCGUCUAGGGGCUAGGACGCCAGAUUCUCAAUCUGGAAACCCGGGUUCGAUUCCCGGUACCGCUA